rnacentral:lncRNA from 10 species
GUCUUGUGGAUUUGAGAGGCUGAAGCUGAGGAUGAAAGUCAAUGUGCUGGGGAUGGUGGAAUGGAAGCAUGGGAAGAGCUAGGAGGCCUUGGUGACAUCCCUAAGAGGCUGGAUUCCCCUCACCUGCUGGUUCCUUCCUCUGUGCUUGUUGGGACAGCAGGGAGAGAGAUGACAGACCCCAUGCCAUCAUCUAGGGCACCUUCCCUGGAGCACCCUAAGUGAUCACAGUGGUGUUUGUUCCACAGCCUCCAUGCCAGUAGGAGGCAAAAGAAACGUUUUCAUGUUAGGCCAGUGAGCAAUGCCAGGAGUCUCAGCUGGAUGUGUCAGCUGUCAUGAUCAUUCCAAUCUCGCUGGAAUCCUUCAGCAUCCAAGCUGUCUGGCCUUGAGUAAGACAUAGCUCCUCUGUGUCUCAGUCUCCUCCUGUGAUAAAAGAGGACAUAACACCCAGCUUCACGGCAUCUGACUCGUGCCAUCUUGCAGGGCCCACACUGCAAAGCUGCAAAGUGCCAUGUGCUUGGUUCAAUGCUCUUCUGUUGCCAUCUUGAAAUUCUUAAUAAUUUGAACAAGGGGUCCAACAUUUUCCUUUUUUCACUGGGCCCCACAAAUUGCAUAACUACUGUUUCCAUCAGGAUGGGCUAGAGUGUGCUGCAAUGACAACAAAGUUCUUAGAGUUCUGUGACUUAGCCCGGUAAAGGUUUAUUUCUCACUCACAAAAAGUCUAAGACCGCAGGCUGUCUCCUCCCUCCAUAGCCUCUAGGUAGGAUCUUUUCUUGCCUCAUCUGGUUUCUGGUGGCCCCAGCUGUUCCUUGACUUUCAGCAUCAUGCCAAUCUCUGCCUCCGUCUUCACACAACCUUCUCUCCUCUGUAUCUAUCUGUGUCCAGAUUUUUCUCUUCAUAUAACGACAUCAGUCACAGUAGAUUUAGAGCCCACCCUAAUGUCCUCAUUUUGACUUGAUGAUAUCUGCGAAGACUAUUUCCAAAUAAGGCCACACUCACAGGUGUGAGGAAUUAGGAUUUCAACAUAGCUUUUAAGGAGACACACACAUAUAGCCUACAAGGUCACCACAGCAGGACAGGAAAGAGCUCAGGGAAAACACAGGAUGUUUUAAGGGCCAAGCGUGGAAGUGACUUCCACCACUUUUGCCUCUCUCCUAUUGGCCAGAACUUGGUCAGUUGGUCUCGGUCUAAUGCGAGAGAAGGGGAGUGCAGAGGAGCAUGUGAAGUCUAGUGAGUAUCCACAGUGUUCUCUGUGACUUCCAUGUUCAGGAGGCUUCAGCUUUGUCCCUCAGGCAACAGGAUGCCAAAAGUGUGGGGAGGGAGAGGGGAGGAGCGGGUAAAGUGAGCAGCAUUCGGUUGUGGCCGAUGGGUUAGACAGGAGCAGUCCAGGAGAUCAGAUGGGUGAAGACGCCAUCGAAGUGACACAGAGGGAGGGUGAUGAAGACCUGCAACAGGGCUGGAUUAGUGAGAAGAGAGCAGGUGAAAUCGCUUUUGGAUUAGUGAGAAGAGAGUGGGUGCAAUCGCUUUUGGAUUAGUGAGAAGAGAGCAGGUGAAAUCACUUUCGGAUCAGUGAGAAAAGAGCGGGUGAAAUCGCUUUUGGAUUAGUGAGAAGAGAGCGGGUGAAAUCGCUUUUGGAUUAGUGAAAAGAGAGCAGGCGAAAUCACUUUUGGAUCAGUGAGAAAAGAGCAGGUGAAAUCGCUUUUGGAUUAGUUAGAAGAGAGAGGGUGAAAUCACUUUGAGGAAAUUUUCAGAGAACCAGACAAAGAGAAAAGAGAAGGAAUCAUUUAUCUGUCUUAACAAUCCAUUCACAUCAAAAUAUUAGAGUUUGAGCUGAAGGAAUGCAUUCAGCUUUGGAGAAACUCUUCCAAAUAGUUCGCAAAGUUUCGCAAACGUCCAAAACCAGAUCAUUUUGCUAAAAUUAUCUAUAUAGUAGACACCACUGAAGUAAGUGCAGAGUUGCACAUAAUGAAACCUGGAGAGGAGAUGAAGGGGCAAAGUCAAACCAGAAAUCUCUUUGAGGACUUUCCUUCUUUUGCAAGGGGAUCACAGAGAAAAGAACACGUUUUGGAAAAAUACCCUGGAGGUUUCAUGUUUCCACUUUGAUGCCACUUCUGCAAGAUGAUGCCAAAAGUUCAGCACUACUCCUAGGGGAGUAAAAGGAACAAGCACCAGGGAUGACCACGUCCACAUCAGAUGUGAGCUAGAGGGGGCGGCUUCCCACGGACACGUUUGAGUUCUGUGUUCUCAGGGAUAACUUCCCCCAGGACGCCCAUGCCCUGCAAGACAAACAGCUCUCCAGGAGGAGGGUGUCCUGCCUUUCAUGCACCCUGGCCACGUCCCUUCCUGGGGAACAUGUGCAUUGAAGGAAUCUUUUGGCUUCCCUGGGCCACAUUGGAAGAAAAAGAACUGUCUUGGGUCACACAUAAAAUACACUAACACGGCUGGGCCUGGUGGCUCACAUCUGUAGUCCCAACACUUUGAGAGGCCCAGGCAGGUGGAUCACCUGAGGUCAGGAGUUUGAGACCAGCCAGGCCAACAUGGUGAAACCCCGUCUCUACGAAAAACACAAAAAUUAGCCGGGCAUGGCAACAUGUGCCUGCAAUCCCAGCUCCUUGGGAGGCUGAGGCAGGAAAAUCGCUUGAACCUGGGAGGCAGAGGUUGCAGCAAGCCGAGAUCAGGCCCUGCACUUCAGCCUGGGCAAGAAAGUGAGACUUUGCCUCAAAAAAAACAAAAACAAAAACAAACAAACAACAACAACAAAAAAAACACUAACAGUAACAAUAGCUGAUGAGCUUUAAAAAAAAAAAUCGCAAGAAAGCCCCAUAAUGUUUUAAAAAAGCUUACAAAUUUGUGUUGGGCCACGUUCAAAGCCAUCCUGGGCAUCAUGCAGACAGCAGGCCACAGGCUGGACAAGCUUCAUGUACAUGUAUUUGCUUCCCAUUCUAUUAUGUGUUCAAAAGGAAUCAACCUGUACUUUAUUCCUAUAAGGAGUUUUGAAACACAAGGCUGAAAGGGAUCGAUUUGUUCAAGAGGAGUCCCCUAGCCCCCUGAAGGGAGGCAAGGCUGAGGAUCCCUUCCAGGUAGAAAGCUUUCCAGGCAAUAGGCAGGACAUGGUUGUGCCGCAGAGGCCUGAGGGCUCUGUUUGUGUGGCAGGGAAUUCAGCUCUGCACGUAGUGGGUUCACGCUGGGAUGCACAUUCUUUGUCGCUCAGUCGAGCUGUAACCCAGAAAGUUAGCAUUUGCUUCAGUGUGACACGGACCAUAUGACAACCAUUCCUUCUCUUUUCCUGCUGCUGCAUGGAGGAACUGCAGCAGGCUGACCUCCACUUAGGGAGACAAGCGC